AAACCAAUAAACUGAAAUAGACUGUUUAAACUAAAAUAACAGCGAUAUCUAGAUAUAAUCCCACAACUAGUGUCACAAAUAUACGAGUGACUAGAGCACUACAAAUAAUAGUCUGAAUGAAAGCAUAACUGUCUGAAAUGAAAUAAACAACUAGAGUAAUGUAGAAGGGGACUUCAGGGCUGCGAACGCCGUGCAACUGUACCUCAAGUCUCCGUCAAGCAUCGGAUCAGAGCAAUCUACUAGCCGUCGUUAGGACCGACUCCAAAGUCUGCACAAGAAGUGCAGAGUGUAGUAUGAGUACAACUGACCCCAUGUACUCUGUAAGUGCCGAGCCUAACCUCGAUGAAAUAGUGACGAGACUAAGGCGGGUCACUUACAAUAACCUGUACACAGUAUAAUAAUAAUAAUAGGAAAGGAAAAUAGGAAAAGUAAGGCAGUUAACUUAUGAAAAAGAACUCAAUCCUUGUAAUAAGAGAAUCCGGGAUAAUCGAUCUCAUAAUUUUAUGUAACAACACUGAAAAUCAACACAAUAAUAACAAUGAAUACAACUGAAUACAACACACACAAUUCGUUGCGACACGCAACCCGAUCCCACCGUACAACACAUAAUCCUCCCUUAUUUCACCAUGUCAAUUUCAAGAGUCACAUAUAAAAUCCGUUGUGGCGCGCAACCUGAUCCUACCAUAUAAUCAGAAUCAAUAUCAUAAUCCUCCCUUAUUUUACCAUAUCACAGUUUAUCAAUAUCAAGUAUACGUACACAACUGUUACAGCGCGCAACCCAAUCCACCAUAUCAAUAUCAAGUUCCUCCCUUAUUUCACUAUAUCACAACCGUUGCGGCGUGCAACCCGAUCCAUAAACAAAUUCAAUAAAUGAAAUCAACCCAACAACUCAAUUUAUAAGAAUCUCUACGAUUAAGGAUUAUGAAAGCAAAACAAUAAAGGAACCACGUACUAAUCAAAGGAAGGCUACAAAUAAUACAAGAGCAACAAAACAAGCUAAUUAUGUAACAGUUAAAGUGUACAAGUAAGACAAUUAAGGCAAAUAGCAAUUAAUCAUGGAGUCAUGGAAGGAACGAAUAUUUCAAUACAAGAAUAAUUAAUGACAAGUAACAAGUUACGACAUGGAAAACAAUUAAAGCAUGUAACAGUUAAGACAUGAUAUAAGAUAAUUCAUGAAAUAGGAGAAAGCAUGGAAACAAUUAUUUUGACGGCGUAUAUACACUCGUCACCUCGCAUAUAUGCCGUUACAUACGUAAUUCACAUAACAUAUAAUUCAAGGGUUCCUAAUUCCCUCAAAUCAAGGUUAGACCCAACACUUACCUCGUUCCGCAAUCAAAUCAAAGCUCAACUAGGGCCUUUUCUCUAAAAUUCAUUUCCAAACCAAUCGAAUCUAAUCAAAAUCGACUCAAUAUCAUCAAACAAUGCUAGAAAAAUUAAUUACAAUAGAUAAAGCAAAGAUCUUUACACAUUUUCCAAAAAGUUAAUAAAAGUCAACCCCGAGCCCGCUUGGUCAAAAUCCGAGAUUCUGACCAAAGCUCAAUUAUCCAUUCACCCCCACUCCGAUUAUGUCAUUAGUUUCGAAACCCGGCCUCAAUUUGAGGUAUAAAUCACAAUUUUAUAUUAAAACCUCAAUUCUACCCAAAUCCCUAAUUUUCUACCAUGAAAGAGCAUAAAUUAAGGUUAAAAGUCAAUGGGUGUUGAUGAAAAUGGAAGAAAACGAGUUAAAGUAUACUAACCUACGAAGUGGGGAUGACUUUCUUCUUCAAAAUCGCUUCUAGGCCGAGCUCCAACGGAAGAUGGUGAAAAAUGAAAGGAAGUCUGUCUUUGGAACAUUUAAGUCACUAGGCGUCAGGCCUUCUUCGCGUUCGUGAAGGGCCUGACGCGAUUGCAAAGGGCAGCGGCCCAAGUGGCAUUCGCGUUCGCGAGAAACGCUACGCGUUCGUGAUUGCCUCUCCCUCCUGGCCUUCGCGUUCGCAAGUCUGGGCUCGCGUUCGUUUAGAGUUACUGGCCAACUCCCCCCAGAAUCGCAUAAACCUUCGCGUUCGUGAGAGGGUGGUCGCGUUCGCGAAGGGUAAGCCCCCCAAUGCUUCGCGUUCGUGACCGGUCCCCGCGUUCACGUAGAAAACCACCCCAGCCCCAAGUUCCCCUUCGCGAUCACGAAGCACAGCGCCCCAGAUAUCAGAAAUCUCAUAAACCAGCAAUUGCCUAAGUCUAAAAUCGAUCUGCAGCCUAUCUAAAACUCACCUGAGUCUCUCGGGCUCCAAACCAAAUAUGUAAAUAGGUGUAAUAACAUCAUACGAACUUGCUUACAUGAUCAUAACACCAAAAUUAUGCCUAGAACUACGAAUCAGACAUCAAAAUGAAUGAUAUUUUCAAAGAAACUCAAGAACAUGCAAAUUUACAACUGGACGUCUGAAUAGUGCAAAUCAACUCUGUUUUGAACCAAAUUUUGCAGACAAGUCAUAAAUAGUGAAAUGGACCUAUAUCAAGUUCCGGAACUGGAUCCGAACCCGGUAGUAACAAAGUCAACCUAUGAUCAAACUUAGAAAUUCUUUUAGCCUUCAAAUUACUAGUUUUCAACAAAUUAUGGUAAAUCAAGGUAGGGAGUUGCGAAUUCGAUUCUGGGCAUACGCCUAAGUCCCAAAAUACGAUACGGACCCACUGACACCGUCAAAAUAUAGAUCCGAAUUCAUUUAUAUAAAAUGUUGAUCGUAGUUAACUCAAAUUAGUUUUAAGGCAAAGUUUUACAUUUUCUUAGAUUUUCCACAUAAAACUUUUCGGAACAAGACACGGACAACGCACGUAAAUUGAGAAAUACUAAACGGAGCUAGUCGAGGUCUCAGAAUAUAGAAAGAAAGGAUAAAACUCAAAAUAACCUAUCGGGUUAUCAACUGAAGCUUUAGGAGUCCUAUCAAAUAAGAAGUUGAAUGUGCAUAGGACUCCCAAAGAUCUUAGAGUACUAGGAAGUUAAAUAUUUUCCUGAUGGACUAAGGACAUCAUCCUUUUGCACGUGAGCUGUGGAAAAACAUUCUCAACACUCAAGUCGAUUACUAGUCUUAGUGUUCUUCUUCAAUCUGUUAGAUUAUAUGUAUUAGGAAAUCUAGUUGUAAUCAAGAUGUCAUUCAUAAUCUGUUAGUUAGAGUAAGUGUUUGAGUGUGCAAGUUAGAGUAACUUGUAAUUCAUUCAAAUAGUUGAAGUAGGAGAAUUCUGGGGGUAUUGAUUUACAAGUCUUGUAAUCAGUACAUUUGGCUCAUUUGUUCUAGUGAAGUUGAAGUUAAAAUCCUACGUGGUAGAUCGUGAUUUUUGCAACUUUGAACCGAGUGAUUUUCCACGCAAAAAAUUGUUGUCCUUGUUUUUGCUGCUUAUUCUAUUUACGCUUAAGGAGUAAGAUAAAGAACCAAGUUCUUUAGUAAUUUAGGAAGGCACUCAAACUAACAAAAAUGCAAUUUCAAGCUAAGAUGGUCACAAAAAGAUUUUACGGUAAACAAGGAUCUCUUCCUCUCUCUUCUGACAUCGCUCCUACACCAAAAACAACAAAUAAAAGUUUAAAACAAACCUUCUUGUAAUUGGAUACAAAACCGAAACCAAAAAGGAAUCAGAAAUUAAACCCAAACUAACUGCAAAGAAAUUCGAAAAUGAUCAUUAGCACAUUUGGCUGGAAAGUGAGUGUGGUCCCAAUAGGGUAACAGUUAUCAUCAAGAAAGAAAAAUAAAAGUGAGAAUUUGUUCGAUCAAACAUGGUUCAACUCCCACGUGGGACACCUGGGAUCAUACUCACUUUCCAGCCAGAGCUCCUUAGUCAGAGCUCGUCGCAUCGGGAUUGCCUAGUAUGGUUUAUAUCUUCUGUGUGGUUUGCGAGCUAUUGCACAUUGAGCAGGUUACCGAGUGUGUACCCGAAGAGUAGCGACUGCGGAUUUCUCUGGGAAUUUUCCAAAAAGAAAAAUACAUGGUUCACCUCUACCUUUAUGUAAAAUCACGAGGUCUUGUUGAUUUGAAUGGAAAGAUAGAACUCCUUCAUUUCCAAUUUACGUGCCACAGUAUUCUUUUUAGUACAUCCCAAACGAAUGAUAUUUUGUAUAUUUAGAAAAAUUAAACUACGACUUAUCUUAGACAAAUUUUAAGAAAGAUUUAUUCUUUUCUAAACUCCGUAUUUGGUCAAACAAAGCCGGAGUAUAACAUUGUUGAUCACUUUUGGAACAUACAAAUUAGUGCGAAAAUGCCUUUGUAUAAAGAGUUCUACGCCGUUUUCCUUUCUUUUGAAAUUUAGGUCACUAACUGCAGGAAAGCUUGGUGGACUUUUUCAGUGGGGUUGUUCUUAUUUUUUUGUGUCAAAAUUGAGCAAUUAUUAGGUUAACAAAAAGAAAAUUGAAGGGGAGAAACGAGUUCUCAGAGGGAAUAAGGCUAAUCUGCAGGGGAGAAAAUAUGGAGAUCUGGUUCUGAGGGAGAACUUCAAUUCUAAGUUUGUCAUUAUCAACAAGGGGGAAAUUGAUAAGUUAUGUGCCGUUUUAUUUUGAUGAUUUAACAAACUUUAUAUGAGAACCAGAUAGGAAAUCUAAUACAAAGCCUCUUCGUGCUCAUAACAACAAGUCACAUGGCUGGCACAAGUUCCAAUGAAAUCAGUUAAGGGAAUGGCAGAGGAAACAGAUGGCUAUCAGUUCAUCCGAUCAUAGUACAAGUUAACUCUUUACAGUUGUUAAAGCUGCUGUACUGCAGAUGCAAUAGUGUAGCGAUCACUGUUGAAGCAUGCUGUGUACCGGACACUUUCUUGCAUCAUUCUAGUGACCUCACUUAUAUUUUAGCAAUAUGAGGCAAUGGAUUAGAUACACUUGCAAACCCUAAAACAUAAUUUACUCUCAAGUGUUCAGCUGCCUUCAUUUACUCCAAGGCAUUGAAGAACAAAGUAGCAAUAGAACGAAGGACCAGAAACCAGCAUUGAGUACAUUGUGUGUGCUUAGUAUUUUUGUAUCUUUGUUAAUGUUAUUAACUUGUAAACUCUUACUCAUCUUAUUUAGAAGCAUUUCAUAGGAUACCUUUGUAUAUCAUAAAUCGUGUGUUUGUGUUUGACUAGAGUUAGUCAAAGUGGUUAGCUUUGUAAUAGAGUUAUUAUAAAGAGGCUUGCAAUAUAGUUAUUGGAAGUAGGUGAGGGAUUAAGAAUUUAAUUCCUAGGUUACAAUAGGUUGUAAUCUAAAGUUGUUCGGUUAGUGAAGUUGAAAUCUUACGAGUGUAAGUUGUGAUUUUUAAUCCCGUGAGCUAAGAGUUUUCCAAGUAAAAUAGAGCUCCAAAAAAGACUUGACUUCAGAGCGGGGAAUCUUCCUAAUUGUUGUAUUAUUUACUUUCCACUCUCUAUGUGUGUUUUGUGGAAACUGAUAGAGAACCAGGUUCUUUAUACAGUUUGGUGGACUCUUAGUUUACAUCAAUUUGUAUCAGAGCAGGUUCUUUCUAUAAGGCUAACACCUAGAAAGGAUCUACAUGGCUGCUCCACCAAAUUUUGAAGGUCAAUCAAUCUACAUACCACCAAGAUUCAAUGGACAAUACUAUGGAUGGUGGAAAACAAGAAUGCAUGAUUUUAUCAUGGCUGAAGAUUCGGAGCUCUAGGAUGUCAUCUAUGAUGGACCCUUUGUCCCUAUGAAGACCAUUGGCGAGACUGCUGUCCAAAUUCCAAAGACAAGGAAAGAGUACAAUGAUACUGAUCGCAAAGCCAUCGAGAAAACAUUUCGAGCAAAGAAGAUCCUCGUCUGUGGUAUUGGAGCAGAUGAGUACAACCGAAUCUCAGCAUGUCAAUUUGCCAAGGAGAUAUGUGAGGCUCUCCAAAAUGCACAUGAAUGUACCACUCAAGUCAAGUAGUGAAAAAUCGACAUGCUCACUACUAAGUAUGAACUCUUCAAGAUGAAGGAGGAUAAGUCCAUCUAGGACAUGCAUACUCGUUUCACUUCCAUCAUCAAUGAGCUUCAUUCUCUAGGAGAGAUUAUCCCAAGGAACAAACUGGUCAGAAAAAUACUUAGUGUGCUACCUGGUUCCUGGGAGAGCAAAGUCAAUGUUAUCACAGAGGCAAAAGAUCUGCAAAAGCUGAGGAUUGAUGAACUUAUUGGAAAUCUAAAGACCUGCAAAAUGAAGAAUAAGAAGAAGGAUCAUUAAAGAAGAGAACCCAAAAAAGAGAACAAGCUGGUUCUCAAAGCAGACAACGGUGACUCAAGUGGUGAUGAUGCUGACAUGGCCUAUUUGACACGGAGGUUUCAAAAAAUGGUUGGUAGAAAUGGAGGUAUUCUGAAAAAGGGCAGCUCUAGCAGAACAAAAGUCUAUGAUUGUUGUCACAAAUGCAAAAAGCCAAGACAUUUCAUCAAAUAUUGUCCUCUCCACAAGCAAGACCAUUACAAGCACAACACAGAUAAGAAGGCCAAGAGGAACUUGGUCCCCGACAGGAAAUUCAAGAGAAAAGAUGCCACUGAUAAUAUUUUGAAACAAGCUCUUGCUAUAUGGGGAGAUUCUUCUAGUGAAUCUGAGGACGAUGAUGGGAAAAGAGACACUUCCAUGAUGGCCACUGAAAGCGAAGCAGCAGAAUAUGACUCCAUAUUUGCCUUGAUGGAAAAAUAUGAUGAGUAUGAAGAUGAUGAUGAUGACGAGGUAAACUUUCUAAAUGUUCAACGAAAUUUGAAGUCUUAUUCUCAAAAAAAGUUGAUAUUUUUAGCUAACGUCUUGAUUGAUGGUUACCAUAAUCUUAUUAAUGAUAAAAAUGUUUUAACUGAGCAAAUAGGAGAGGUAGAGCAUGAGAAAGAUGAUUUACUGGUCGUAGUUGUUGAUUUGAAAGAAACCAUAGAGGAUUUAAAGCAAGAAAAAGAUAUUCUAAUUGAGAAAAUUAAAAGGGUAGAACAUGAGAGAGAUGACUUUCUGGUAGUAUUUGUGGAUCUAAAGGAAACAGUAGAGGAGUUAAAAAGGGACAAUAAUUCUGGAAAAACAUCAAUAGAAAAUUGCAUGAACUCUUCAAAAGGAAAGGAAGUGGCAAGUGAGGCACACCUUAAGCUUGAAAAUGAACUCACAAAGGCAAGAUUGAGUCUUUGUGCUCGACUUGAAAGAAAUAGAAAACUUCAGGAAGAUCUAAGCAGGGUUAAAAAUGACCUAGAUAAAUCUCUGAAGUGGACUUAGUCCUCUGACACAAUCACUUUCAUAUAUAAAAGUAAUUUGGGGUGGGGUGGGUAGGGGAACCGGUAGGGAAUCGGGUUCCAAAAGAAAAAGGCUCCCUACAAACCACAUAGCAAGUAUGCUACUGUACCUGAUAACUGGCUUUGCACUCAUUGUGGUAAAACUGACCAUUUCAAAGAUUCUUGUAAAGCAAGGUUUCAGUCUCAACAGAAAAAUAAAGUUUUUGUUGAAAACGUAUCUACUGCUAAGGAACCCGAUUCUCUAAAAAAGAAACAUGUGAUGCCUGCUGGGACAAAAAGAAGUUUAAUUCGCCCCUUUUCUUAUUACAAAGGACCCAAACUUGUUUGGGUUCCUAAGUCUAACCUCUGAUUUUCUUGUGCAUGCAAUAAUGAAAGGAAGCUGCCAAAGAUGGUACAUGGAUAGUUGCUGCUCUAAACACAUGACUGGAAGUACUGAUGAUUUCCUUUCACUCAAAGCCCUGCAAGGUGGGAGUGUGUCCUUUGGUAAUGGCAAAAAGGGAUACAUUCUGGGAGUUGAAAAAAUUGGGAAUACACUCGCUCAUUCAAGAUGAAUGGCUUGAAAUAUAGCCUACUAAGUGUCUCUCAAAUUUGCGACAAAGGACAAGGUGGAGUUUUAUCAAAGUCUUGCACCGUUACCAAUCUUGUAACUGGUGAAGUGGUUCUGGUGGCAAAAUAAUUCAAAAACAUCUAUGUUGUAGACUUUGAGUGUUUGAAUUGUGGCACGAAAGAUUGGGACAUGUAAGUUUCUCUCUGUUAAACAAGCUAGUCAAGAAGGACCUUGUUCACGGGCUUCUGAAGUCAAAGUUUAAGGAUCACAAGGUGUGUAAUGCAUGUGUGAAAUGGAAGCAAGCCAGGUCCUCAUUCAAGCCAGAGAAGGAAGUAAGCACCUCAAGGCCACUGGAUCUUUGUUAUUGUUGAUAUUAUUCCAGAUUCACAUGGACCUUGUUCCUCAGAACCAAGGAUGAAACCUUUCCAGUCUUUGCUGCCUUUGUGCAGUAGAUUCAAGUAAAGAUGAGCCAUAAUGUUGUAAGCAUAAGAUCUUAUCAUGGUACCGAGUUUGACAAUGCAAAAUUUGAUGAAUUUUAUGUUGAAAAUGGUAUAAGUCAUAAUUUUUCAUCUCCUAAAAUACCCCAACAAAAUGAUUUUGUGGAGAGAAAAAAUAGGACACUUGAAGACAUGGCAAGGACGAUGCUAAUUGACAAUGGCGUACCAAAGAGCUUUCAGGCUGAGGCAUUGAACACUGUCUGCUAUCUGAUAAACAGGUGCAUGAUCAGGUCCCUCCUAAAUAACACCCCGUAUGAAUUGCUAAACGGGAGAAAACCAAAGAUGACUUACCUAAGAACAUUUGGUUUCAAAUGUUUUGUUCUUAAUAAUGGUAAGGAAGCGUUGGGAAAAUUUUCCAGGUUCUUUUUGGAAAAUGGUUUCACUAGAGGAAAAUUGAAAACACUCUUUUUCUGAAGAAAAGAGGGAGGAACCUGCUAAUUGUGCAGGUGUAUGUUGACGACAUCAUCUUUGGUGUAACAAAUGAUUCUUUGUGUGAGGAGUUUUCCAAGCUUAUGGGAAGCGAGUUUGAGAUGAGUAUGAUGGAAGAACUGAACUUCAUCCUAGGACUGCAAGUGAAGAAAACCUCUAAGGGAACGAUGAUAAGUCAGCAGAAAUACAUUUAGGAGCUUCUGACGAGGUUUGAGAUGGAAAGUUCAAAGACCAUUGAUACUCUCAUUGCUACUGCCACCCAUCUAGACUUGGACCAACCAGGUUCCCCUGUAAAUAAAACCAUGUAUCGGGGCAUCAUUGAUUCACUUUUGUACCUAACAGCCAGCAGACCUGACAUUAUGUUCAGUGUGGGGUUAUGUGCUAGAUUUCAAUCAAGUCCUAAAGAAAUCUCACUUGAAAGAUGCUAAGAGAAUCCUGAGAUAUCUCAAAGGAACGCAGGACUUGGUCCUCUAUUAUCCCUCAGGGGAUAAUUUUGACAUAAUUGGGUAUGCUGAUGUUGAUUAUGAUGGCUAUAUGGUGGAUAGGAAGAACACAUCUGGUAUGGCACAUUUUCUGGAAUCAUGCUUAAUUUCAUGGGGUACAAAGAAACAAAAUUCUGUAGCCCUCUCGACUGCAGAAGCAGAAGAUAUAGCAGCUGCCUCAUCAACGCUCAACUACUGUGGAUCAAGCAAUAAUUUAAAAUAUUUGGUGUGUUCUCCGACUGUGUGCCACUGUUGUAUGACUACACAAGUGCCCUCAAUAUGGCAAAGAACCCGGUUCAUCAUAAGAGGACAAAGCACAUUGAUGUGUGAUAUCAUUUCCUCAGGGACAAUGUUAAAAAGGGUCUCAUCUGUAUGAAGUUUUUCAAAACAAAGGACGAAGUAGCUGAUAUCUUCACCAAAGCAUUGAGCAGAGAGCAUUUUGAAAAGAAUCGAAUGGAGCUACGAUUAAUCAAAUUGAACUGAGAAUUUGAUCCCUCAAUGACUAGCUAUGAUAGGAUGGUAAGGUGAAAUGCUAAAAAGUAUUUUCUGGAAACUUUUAACUCAAUUCUAUACUGUUACAGGUAAACACGCAUGGAAAUUACAGGGCAAAUAAGCAUCUAAUGACAUUGCAAUUUGUUAGAAGGUCAUAUUUGUAAAAUCAGUCAGGGAACCUGGUUCCCAUGACACUGAUUAGUAGUUCCUCUUACACUCAUACGCAUUUUGAACUGCUAGUGUGCCACCUCAUUAAGUGUGUCCUCCCUUUUCCCAUAUCUUUUAAACCCAAACGUCACACCCAUUACAAACCGACCUGACUACCCAGUCCAUCGCGUCCAUCUAUAAUCUGUCCCUCUUUCCCUCUAAAUAACCCCAAAAGGCAUGUCUCUCUCAUAAUUAUUUACAUCAAAGCCAUCAAACUCUCUUUUUCUCUCUGAAAACCUUCUCUUUCGUGUCUUCACUCUCAACUAUUCACCAUGUCUUCUCAGAAAUCAGAGUCUCCAAAAGCCACCAUUUAAAUCCCUACCGUGUCUUUAUCUCACGAAGCACAACCAUCAGAAUUGGAGCCUCAAUAUUCACCUAUUAAAAACCCUUCUCCAACCAACCACCACCCACUGUCUCUUCUCCUACUCCAUCAAGUUCUUGUUCCUAUCGUAGCCGGAAAAACCAAACUCCUAAGAAGUUUGUCGCUUCAACCUCCCCCUCUGCUAGCAUUGAAAAAAUGGAAGUAGAAGGACUGGUGGAAGGGGAAGAAGGUACAGAGGUCUCAAGUCAGCGGGUUGAGGAAUAAAGUGUGGACCAAGUUGUUGUCACUGGACUUGGUGAAGAAUCGGGUACAUCUGAAACCCCCUCUGCUCAGAAUUUUGAUCUAAACACCUUGUCACCAUCAGGUAAUACCUCUCUAGCUCCUAGUGAUCCUACGUUGUUGGAAGAUUUGGUUGAGAAAGAAGCUAUAGAAAAUAUAUUGUGUAUUGCUGCUGAAGGGAAUCUGGUUGGGGGGUCUGUGUUUGAUGAUGUGAGUGUUGGGGCUCAGAGGAAGAAAAAGGGAACGGGGAUAGAAAUAGGGACCGGGUGCCUCAAGGUGACUUGGUACUAGUUACUACUACAUGGGAGCCAACAGAGGGACCUUCUUCCUCUGUCCAAGAGGAGUACUCUGCUCCUACUUUGGAUGAAACUCAAUGCUCCACUAGAAAGCCCAUGGACAAUACUGACCCUCCUUCCCCCCUCACCUUGAUGCAGUCCCUUUAGAUUUUGUGAUUCCUAAGAAGAAGAAGAAGAAGAAGAAGAAGAAGAAGAGGAAGAAGAUGAUGAUGAUGAUGAUGAUGAUGAUGAUGAUGAUGAUAAUGAUGAAAGUGAGGAUGAUUAUGACAAUGUGCCUGUAGCCCAGUUCAUCACUACUAGGAGUGGUGGGACAACUUCAAAAGAGCCUGUUCUUAAAAGACCCACCACUAGGCAGCAGAAGAAAGUUUCCCUUGAAAAAAGGAGAAUAAGGAGAAAAAGAAAAGAAGAUUGGUGAAGGCAGGUAAAUUAGUUAAUGAGGAGGAUCUGCCUCCGACCAAUAUUGUGGAAGUUGAGGACGAAGAGGUGAAUGAGGAACCUGAUUUCCUUGUUUGUAAAUCCUCUAAAAAGACUGUGCUUGUGAAAUCCAAGAAAGCGUCAUCUCUGAAGGGUGUUGAAAUUGGUGGUGAGAAGAGUGUUGAGAAUAAGGAGUCUGUUGAGAAGGUGAAGCCUACUAGGAAGGAGAAAGGUAUUGAGAAGAAAAAAUCUCACAAGAGAAAUCCAAGUAACAGUGAGGGGCCUGGUUCCUCAAAAAGAGCGAGAGUGGAAGUGUCUGAGAGUGAGAGGAAAGAAAAGCUCAAGAAGCAAAAAAUAUUGUGGGGCAGAGUAUUUGAUACUGACAUUCUUGACAAGUUAGGUAUGAGGCAGUUAGUUGAAAUUUGUGAAUUUCAGAAGUGGACUCAUCUGUUUACUCUUUAGAGUCCAAAAGUCUAUGAAAAGGAAGUUCGCAGUUUCUAUGCUGAUCUGUUCACUGUGUAGGAUGACAACAUCUGCCUGAAGGUCAAUGGGGUAGAUUUUGUGAUGGAUGAAGCUGUACUGGGAAGCAUUCUUGAUGUGCCUGCGGAGGGGUUCUCGACUGUUAAGGGAACAUGUUCCCCAAGUUUUAGGAAGGUUAUUCUAAAGCCUCAGGCUGUUCAACAAGGGGAACGGGUGCAUAAAAAGGCACUGCUCCUAGAAUACCAAUUCAUGUUUGAGAUGGUGAACAAGGUCCUUCUCCCUCGAGCUAAAAGAUGAUCCAUUGCAUCAAUAACGGACUUGGUUCUCGUGGAGGCACUGGACGGAUAUACUGCUAUCAACCUGCCCGGGAUCCUGAUUGAACACAUAAAGAAGAUUGCAGACUUCAAGGAUGGGAACCAUGGGUUUCCAUAUGGUUCCUGCUAACCAACGUUUUUGAACAUUUCAAAGUCCCUUGGGGAGAGCAGCUGUGAGAACUCGUAAGCAAAUGUUCUCAAUAACUACCUUAGAGUAAUGCGAGUGUAUUGAUAAGAAGUGGGAGUUGGCAGCAGUUCUACAAUUUCUCAGUUGAUUGAUGCUAGAGUGCUGCCAAUGAGGAGAUAAGAAGGCUGAAGGAUUAGAAUGCCAUUCUUGAGGGAAAGCUCAGUUAAGCCCGAGAGGAACCUGGUUCUAGCAGUGCUCAGGGUGCAGAGGUUGCCCGCUUGACAGCUGAGAAUGCAGAGCUAAGGAAACAGGCUGAGAAACGGGUUCUCAGGGGGAAUAUGGCUAAUCUGCAGGGGGAACAAUAUGGAGAUCUGGUUCUCAGGGGGAACUUCAAUUCUAAGUUUGUCAUCAUCAAAAAGGAGGAAAUUGAUAAGUUAAGUGCCUUUUUAUUUUGAUGAUUUAAUAAACUUUAUAUGAGAACCAGAUAGAGAGCAUGAUACAAAGCCUCUUCGUGCUCAGAACUACAUGUCACAUGUCUGGCAUAAGUUUCAAUGAAAUCAGUUAAGGGAACGGUAGAGGGAACAAAUGGCUAUCAGUUCCUGCGAUUACAGUACAAGUCUACUCUUUACAACUGUUAAAGCCGCUGCACUACAGACACAACAGUGCAUCAAUAACUGUUGAAGUAUGAUGUGUACCGGACACUUACUUGAAUCAUCCUAGUGACCUUACUUAUAUAUUAGCAACAUGAGGCAAUAGAUUAGAUACACUUGCAAACCCUAAAACACAAUUUACUCUCAAGUGUGCAGCCGCCUUUAUAUACUCCAAGGCAUUGAAGAAUAAAGUAGCAACAGAACGAAGGACCAGAUCCCAACAUUGAGUACAUUGUAUGUCCUUAGUAUUGUUGUAUGUUUGUUAAUGUUAUUAACUUGUAAUUCCUAUUCAGCUUAUUUAGAAGCAUCUGUAGGAUACCUUUGUAAACCAUAAAUCAUGUGUUUGUAUUUUACUAGAGUUAGUCAAAGUGGUUAGCCUUGUAAUAGAGUUAUUACAAAGAGGCUUGCAAUAUAGUUAUUGCAAGUAGGUGAGGGAUUAAGUGCUUAAUUCCUAGGUUAGAAUAGGUUGUAAUCUAAAGUUGCUCGGUCAGUGAAGUUGAAAUCCUACGAGUGUAGGUCGUGGUUUUUAAUCCCGUGAGUUGAGAGUUUUCCACGUAAAAAAUAUUGUUGUGUUAUUUACCUUCCACUGUGUGUGUUCUGUGUGAACUGAUAGAGAACCAGGUUCUCUAUACAGAUUGGUGGACUCUUAGUUUACAUCAAAUAUGUUACCAAUCCGCGACGUUUAUGCAACAUAACAAUUGGUUGUCUCAUAGAAUAUUUUGCUACUCAAUUCUAGUCCUUGCAAAUAUCUUUUAUCUUAUUUCUCCUACCUUAUUCCAUUGUUAAAUGGGAUAAAGAACAUUCAUUAAUGAACAUUCAUUACGAUCUCCCCAUACUUGUCUAAAAUUAGUUUUGAAUCUAAAGCAAAAUGACUUCCAUUGACUGCAUUCCGGAAAAUAGUCAAUCUAAGAAGGAUAGAAGCAACAAUAUGAAAGAAACAGAGAACUAGCCACCCUUAUUUUAUUUUAUUAUCAGCAAGGUGGGUAGAACUUACACAUAUGAUAGAAAAAUGUUCUAGAGGGUCAGUACUUCAGAAAUACCUUAGCAGUGAUGAACUCGGAGAAAGUUCAACAUGUCAGAAGUCUAGUGAUUUAUUCUUCACUAUUCUAAAUUGAUGCAAGGAUAUGUAAGGGAUACCUGAGUCCUGAGAGCUGACGAUAAAGUGAAGCGGGAGACAGUUGUUGCUCUCAAGAUCAGCUAUGCUCAAUUUCAAAGUCCAGUUGUACGUUGUAUAUUAGUUGUCGUAGCAAUGGCUCGCUGUUCUGAAUUUGUGCAACUUAGCAAUUGCUCUUUAGUAUUUUGAGUUCAUCCCUAUUUAGUUCUACUUAGUCUUUGCCUUUCUUUUAUCUUCUUUUUCAACUUGUAUGCAACAUAAUGUCACUUUUUUGUGUGCUCAAAACGAUUUUUAACUCAAAAAGUAAGAUGCGUAUUAACUCUUUGAAGCCAAACAAUUGGUCCAUCCAUCAUAAAGGCAAUCCCGCACCCAAAGUAUCCUGCAUUUGGUCCGAGAAGGGUUGCAUACCAAAUGGUGUGAUGUAUGCAACCUACCCUAAGGUAUGUAUAAGUGGUUGAUUCCAUACCUCAAGCAUGUUGGUUAUAGGUCACAUAGAGAUAAUUUUAUUGUUUCUUCAAUGCUCCCCUGCAAUUGGUCCAUCCAUCAUCCGAAUCAAUUUCUGAUGGUUUCUAUAAAAAAUUCAUACAAAAUCACAAAUGAAAUGACACAUCAUAGAUGGGACAUUCCUGUUCAGUCUUAGGUUCUACACAACGAACACAUGAAACACAACCAUCUUGAUCUUGGCUUUGCAACUAAGAACUCGCUAUCAUGUUAGGUAAAGGGGCUAUUAGUUUCAGCUUGAUCAAGGAAAACCCAGCUCAACGCUACUGUAAAUUAGAAGUAAUAACAAGAAACAAACGAACAAGUUAAAAUAGGAGGGUUGUUAUGUCAAAAAGUAAUACAAGAGAAUAACAACGUAACCAAAUUUAACGUGAAAAACCUCUUCAAAGCAAAAAGUAAAAACCAUAGAACAUCCAAUUCAUUAAAAUCUCCAUUUUCUCGAAAGAGAGUUAUACAAGUCCUCUAAAAUGGUCAUAACACUAGCGACAAAUAAGGAAAAAUGAUAUACAACAAACAAGCGAAGAAUGAAACAGAAAUACUCACCCAACACGAGCUACAGUUUGUUGCUCAAUAUAUGUAGCUAAAAAUCUCGAAGCACGAUCUCCGUUGUUUAGAUUGGAGAACAAGAUGUUACCAGGGCUGGCCGAAGGAUAAGGUUUAAAGCCAUUGCUUUAGGCCCCCAAUCUUGGAAGGCCCCUUUUUUUUCUCCUAUUAUUUAU
rnacentral:lncRNA from 1 species